rnacentral:rRNA from 1 species
UACGUAGGGUGCGAGCGUUUGUCCGGAAUUAUUGGGCGUAAAGAGCUCGUAGGCGGUUUGUCGCGUCUGCCGUGAAAGUCCGGGGCUCAACUCCGGAUCUGCGGUGGGUACGGGCAGACUAGAGUGAUGUAGGGGAGACUGGAAUUCCUGGUGUAGCGGUGAAAUGCGCAGAUAUCAGGAGGAACACCGAUGGCGAAGGCAGGUCUCUGGGCAUUAACUGACGCUGAGGAGCGAAAGCAUGGGGAGCGAACAGG